rnacentral:rRNA from 1 species
CUAUGCCAUACCACCCUGAACGUGCCCGAUUUCAUCUGAUCUUGGAAGCUAAGCAGGGUCGGGCCUGGUCAGUACUUGGAUGGAAGAAGGUGAUUGCAUAGA